ACCAUGCAGGAGGUUUACUAGGGAGUGCUCAUGAGAUCAACAUCAGUGGAAAGGAAGGAAAGGAAGCAGGAUUUGGCAGGGGGAGAAGGUGAGCUGCAUGGCAGUCUCAAGAAAGGCCUCAGUGGAACUCAUAGGGUGCUCUGAAACUGGGUGACCUUUGAAGAGUUGUUCUGAGCACGGAUAGGAGAGAUUUGUGUAAUGAGGAAGUUCAAGGAGAGAAAGAGGACCUGAAAGUAUAGGAGAGAGAAAGACUUCAUGAUGGAGAAGAAAAGAGAGAAACAGAGUCUCAUGGAUAGAGUUGGCUUGGGGAGGAAGAAAGCCAGCUUAAGAGGUGAUCCUAAAGCAGACGGUUCAUGAAAACUGAGUGAUGACACAAGACUACCUUUAUAAGGUACUACAGAGGAGGGCCAGCCGCAGAGAAAGGGAGUGCCAAUCAGUGAGUAAUGAAGACUAGAGAUGGAUAUACAGUGGUCUGCUGAAGCCAGCUCAUACCACUUGCAAGAGCCAAAUGUUAAAAUUAAAGGAAUUUUGUGCACC